rnacentral:rRNA from 1 species
GACGAACGCUGGCGGCGUGCCUAAUACAUGCAAGUCGAACGCAGUGGGGACGGGUGAGUAACACGUGGGUAACCUCCCAUCAGAGGGGAUAACACUUGGAAACAAGUGCUAAACCGAUACUGAUGGAUGGACCCGCGGUGCAUUAGCUAGUUGGUGGGGUAACGGCGCACCAAGGCCACGAUGCAUAGGCGGCCUGAGAGGGGGAUGGGCCACCCUGGGACUGAGACACGGCCAAGACGCCUACGGGGGGCAGCAGUAGGGAAUCUUCGGCAAUGGACGAAAGUCGGACCGAGCAACGCCGCGUGAGUGAAGAAGGUUUUCGGGUCGUAAAGCUCUGUUGUUAGAGAAGCGGUAUCUAACCAGAAAGCCACGGCUAACUACGGGCCAGCAGCCGCGGUAAUUC